ACUUUUCCGCCAUUACUCGUAAAAGAACGGAUAUCUUCGUCAUUGUCCAGAAAACCUGGGAUUUCACGAAUCAUGAAGCUGAAACCACAUGACUGAGGCUGGGAAACAACCUGAUCUUCUGUAAAGUAACAGAUAUAAGCCAAAAUAUGACUCAUAAAAUCAAAUUUAUUGAGAAUGCAUCAGUCAAUAUUUCCGUAAUUUUUCCGUAAUGUCAGAAGUCGACAUUUCCGAAGAGCUUCCGAAUGGAGACGACUCGGCCUUUACGGACGAUCAUCAACAAACUAACGCCGGUGGCGAUGCCAACAACACGGUAAAUGCCGAGGGUCACCAGGCGAUUCCCUCUCAGCUAUACGUGACCACAACACAGGGCCUUGUUCCAGCAGAACAAAUUCAAGAGGAAAUAAAAACCACGCACAUUGUGAUCCAUGAUCAAACCUUUGACUCGGGGCUUAAAACCCCCACCACUCCACUCCCCCCUCCUACCCCAGCCACCCCACUCAGUAGAGAGAAAGGGUUCAAAUACACGUGGGACGAAUCUGUUCAAGGCAAUAUUCUUCCAGUGAGAUGCAAGAAUUCUAACGGGGAACUGUACAAAAAUAAGUUUGGAUCAGGUGGACGAGGAAGGUGCAUAAAAAGUGAUGGCGAAUGGUUCACACCCAACGAGUUUGAGGCCCGGAGCGGACGGGCAAGCAGCAAGGACUGGAAGAGGAGCAUACGCUAUGGUGGGCGGACCCUACAGUGUCUGAUAGAGGAUGGUGUGCUACAGCCACACGCUACGUCGUGCACCUGUGCUGCUUGCUGUGAUGAUGAAACAGUUCAACCAUCGUACCAGCCAAUAGCAUCAGCAAGGAUACGGGAGCUGUGAUGGUUUCAAUUGGUGGACAGACACACGCUGCCCAGCCAAUCAAAGUGACCACGUCAGAGGGUGAGACCAUGCAGAUGCAGAUCCUGACCACAGCUGACAAUCUGGGAACGUUUCUCACAACAGGAGAUGCUGUUGUUAUGGCACCUAUUUCUGAUGUGAAAUCUUCCAAUGGUGGUCUUACAAAUGCCGCCAUCUUGUCCGUACCAGACAUGUCAGAGCAGAGACAAUGGUGGCAACUAGAGGAGUUGGCCAACAACAUGUUACUACAGGCCCAGCAGCUCAAGUCCAUGAUAGAGCAGGCCAAACAACAGACUCAACUGUUCAGGGACGCUGCAGUCCAGCAGGUCAAAGCCCAGAUGGAGAAAGAGAAACAAGAGGCAAUAAAUGCCCUCAAAAUGGAGCACCAAGUUAAGAUGUCACAUGCAUUGAUGGCGGAGCGGGCCCAGCGACAGAUUGCAGUUCAGCAGGCUGUUGCCAACGCAAGGUCAGGGGUUAAGGACACUAUGGAUGUCACGGUGGUCUCCUGCGAGUCGUUGUCAUUGGAGAGCGGACAAUCAUCCUCUAACAACAUAGUGGAAACCAUCAUGGUGACAGAAGUGGACUCGGAGAAAGAGAAAGACUGAUCAUUAGACCUAUACAGUGGAAAUUUUCAUGGUGACAGAAGUGGACUGAGAAAGAGAAAGACUGAUCAUUAGACCUAUACAGCGUUGGUUACAUGUAUGAUGCUUUGGCAGAAGCCAUUUUAUUUUUGUUAUCUAUUGUAUGUAUUAUGAAUCAUUAUUUAUAUAUCAUCCUCAUAUUUAAGUGGUUGUCUCUCUCUCUGUCAAGCUCAUUUCGGGUCUAACCAUUACAUUUUUCUUGAGUAUGUAUUUUAUCUGAUGUUUUAAACAUGAAAAUGUACGUGAAUUUUUCACAGACUGUGUAAUAGAGGAUAUUAUUAUUUUACCAUAUUAAUGUUUAUCAAAUGAUCAUAACUAUGUGCUAUAUUACUUGUACAAUGUACAUAAUAAUACUUUGAAUGAUGUAAAAUAAAAUGUUCAAUAAGUUU
rnacentral:misc_RNA from 1 species